UCUGAUUGCACUCUAUGCUUGAAUGAAACAUCUGGAAGGACACUAACAGAACCUCAGACCUUCAGAGGGGAAGGGGGAAGAAGAACUGUCCGGAGAUCUGCUAAGAAUAAUGGCAGAAAGCUCCAGAAGGAAUCACUGUGAAGACCAAAUGCUUCCUGAGAUAGGCACCAGAACAGUACCUACAGAUACACCAGGAAGACUGGAAAACUGCCCCAAAGAGCUAAAUGUCUGGUCAACAUCAAAGACAGCAGAGAGGUGUCUGGCUGUGCUUUAUGUUGCCUCCAGGAAUGAGUCACUAAUAGCUGCUGUUCAGGAAAAAAGUGAGAACUCUCAGUCCAUAAUUCACCCUCACAAUUCAAGUAAUUGAGUCACUUUUGAACCUUUCUAUAUUGCAUCAUUACAUAACCACCAAAACAGAUGCAGUGCUUGGCUUGUAAAGAUAAUACCAAAUUCACUGCAGGACUGCUCCGAUCUCCCUUUCAAGUCCUGUUCAGGUCAAUAGGAUUUCAUCACAUACUCCUAAACUGCUGUCAGGUGCUUGGAGUUGCUGUACCUGCUCCCCAUCCGUGUCAUUUUCUUUCAGUGACGAGCCGUGUGUAUGACUGGUGCUAUGUGCUGGUGGCUCAUCCCGCUGCAUGUGGUGCUGUGACCUGCCUAAUCAAGCACCAUGAGACUCUAACCUGCAGAACGUGAUAGGAAUCGGUAUACAAUUUAAAUGUCAUGCUUUUUUUUCCCUGUUACAGAUAAAAGUAUGUUGAUUUGCCAGCCCCAACUGUGAAAUGUUCCUACUGCCUGAACCAUUUUCUGCACAACACUUGUUUUCUUUGUAAAAGCUUUUUUCUAUUGAUCUGAAUUGACUUGUGCAGAAAAGCCUUGUGAGUUCAAUGCAAAUUGUUACUGGGCACUUACUGUGAGCAGCAGAGCAAUACAAAAGGAUGCUGUUGGUGUAGAUGUGCAGUGUAUGUAUUUCAAGACAUGUCUCCCUGUAUUGAUAUUUGGUCUGAUCUUGCUUUCAGAGUAUAAGCAAGUAGUCAAUUAAUGCAUUUUUAAAUGUUUUGAGGAGAAGCUAAAUCUAAAACCCGAGGAAGGCACAUGUUUGGUAGAGUAAUGCUGAAUCUGUGCAUUUUUUCAGAUUGAACUGAAAUUGAUCUCAUUCUUUCAGCUGAGACAACAUCAACUACUAGACUUUCGUCCCAGGUGUAUGUUGAACAUGGGAAAGGCACCAAAAUGCCACCAGAAAGAGCAUCUCAUUUAGCUUUUUUUUCUCUUGCUGAAAUAAUUGUUUUUAAGAAGUCCUCUUUCUAUGAGUCAGUUGUGCAGCUCAGUUUGUUUACUGAAGACCUGUGAGUAGGUUUGGGGUCAGAAGAAAUAUCAAUUUAAUGAUUUAACCACGCAUAUUUUGUAGCCUCCUUGAGCUCCCUGCUGCACACAAGGCUCUUAGCCCAUAGCUUGCCCACAUGCCACAGUGAAUGGGGUGAACUCUUGUUUGCUUGAGGAAUAUCUGUGCUAGCUGGAUUUGGCCCUUCAUACUUUUGCUCAAAAAGGAAGUCUGAAAACAUGUUAUGCAGCAGCAAGGCUUGUUGUAGGUAAAGAUUUCUACAUCUGUGAUAGAAUGAAACACCCAAAGAGGAUCCUUGCAGUAUUCAUGAUGGUCUUCUAGCUCCAGAAUAAGAAGGAUUUGAUGGUAAAAAGACAAACUACUGAAUCUUCUGUUCAUGAACAAAAUCUCCAGGAGCGUGCAGGUGGAGUAGCAGACCACAGCAAGCUCUUCCAUGCAGCUGAGCUGUGAAGUUUACCCAAGCUCUGUCCCCGCAGCUCCCACCUCUGAGCCUUUCCUGAGUAUGAACUACAAAAUUUAGUUCAAAGCUGGCAGCCAAACCAUAAAUUAUCAAAUUAUCAUACUUGCAUUAAAAUCUCUCUGAGGCUGGCCUGCACAUUUGUUGAUAGAUCAAUAAACUUCUGCCAGUGGAGGCCAGUUUUAAGUUGCAUUUCUGAGUUAUUUUCAAUUUUGACUUCUGCACAAGUGCUAUGUUGGGCUUGCUCAGUUGGAGAACCUGGGUUACGCUUCCUGUGCAUGGAGCAAGGAUGUGCCUCCAAGUCUCUCAUGCCAAGGAAUGGAAACAUUCACAUCAAAUACGACCAUAACAGAAAUGUAAAGAUUUUGCUUUGUUGGGCAAAUAUCUUAUGUGAUUCCUUUCUACGUGAACUGGAGCAGCCAUGGCCAGAAUGACUAUCCUUCAUGUGGAACAUGCUUCCCAUGAUAUGAUUCUCAUCUGCUAGAGAAAAUAAGCAGAAAACAACUUUUAGUGCCUAUAUUCAGAAAUAACCUUGUACCAGCGGUGCCAGCUUGCAAAGGAUGGUGUCUGGUUUGAUGGUGAGUGGCUGUUCACUCUGUGCUUACAACAAGAGCUUCUCAACAAAAACGUUAACAAAAGUGAGGUUUCAACACAGGGUACAAAGACUUUUGUUGCUUAGUUUGAGGCCAAACUUUUUCUUAUCAGGCCAAGGAAAAAUUAGUGCCAAUGGCAUUUGGUGUUUUUGUGUGCACAUAUUUUUAGGAGUGGUUUGCGUAGAGGCAAGAUGACUCCUCUGCUUGUUCCUCCCUUGCCUUGCUCUCACCUGCGAAGGUGAAGCUGAUGCAGGGCUUCAAAAAGGGAAGCGCUUUGUGGGGGGCUGCGGUGGGUAGCAGCUUCUGAAGAGCCUUGUGUUGCCUUGCGGGGGCACCAUGGGGUCCUGUGGGGCAGGAGAGCUGCCACAGGUUAGAGACUGGAGAGAGCUAAAGCCUUAACCAUGCCUUGCAACUAUUUAAAAAGCAGAGCUAGAUCUCUUUCCCCACGAUAUGCAUUGCAGCCCAAAUCCGUCAAGGCUCUUGCAUCUCACUCUAAGCCUUUGAGCGGGCCCCUGCAGGACCAUGCAUGGGCUUCAGCCAGCCCGCGCUUACACACGCGGUGUUGAUUCAGGAUUAAGGUGAACUGAGCUGGCUCCUCUGGGGACGUAUAUAUUAGACUUCUCAAAAAAACUUUUGACCUUAGCCAUGCUCAUUUUGUAUUUUAAGUAAUCGUGGUGGCUCCCACGACAUAACAUCUCCUGAAGCUCGCGGUCAGCUGUUAGUGUGGUUACAGGGUGAAGGUUUUGAAAGGGGCCAAAAUGGUUCGAGGAAAUAAAUCCUGUUGAAUGCCAGUGUGACCCGAGCACCACGCUCCCCCAGGGCCUUUGGAUCAUCCCACCUCAUAAGUUGUGGGCAAAAAUAUUAAAUUUUCUGGUGAUUUUGGUGCUUCCAUUCAAGACAGUUUGCAUAAGGUUUCUGGCAGGGAACUCUGCUCAAAAACCUGAGCUCUUCUCAGCAGCAGUGUCACAGGUUGGGUGCACAGAAAGUCACCCUUCAGAUGGGAAGUUAUUUCUGAAACUGGCAAUUGUGGUGAUUUCAGAAGUGAGCUGUCCCAGCGAAGUAUUGCAGCUGAAGAACAAGAGCAGAGAAACACAAAGCAAAUACAUAAAGUUGUAAAUUCAUUUUCUGUAGUAACUUUUACAUGUCUUCAGUAUUUCAUGAUGCUGAGGAGCAGACAGGAAAUGAAGAAGUUCACAUACAAACUGCAACACCUUUCAGAGUGAGAAAUUACGUUUUUGUUCUAAUCAUACGAUGCUAAAACUGCUUUUCCAAGUAAGACACUGUGGGCUGUCGAUGGGGGCACGUUGUGACGCUGCCGUCCCUGGUCCCAGCCCCCUGCUUGUGCUGAGGGUUGGAGCAGGGACAUCCACGGGCAGAGCUAAUGAGCACCGAGUGACAAUGGCACUGCCACCCAGGCACGUGUGACACUCAUAUGAAUAUCAAAUGAAUUCAUUAUAGUCGCAGCUAUUUCCAUGAAUACCAAAUGAACUUAUAAUAACCAAAGAGUUGCUAUUUUGUUCUUAAAAUAAACAACAGAAAUAGGGAAAAAAAUUAACCUCAUUAUAUUUUGGAGAGGUGAUAUUUAAACAAGGUUUUUGAAAAGGAUUCAGGCAGUUGGUGAUAUUCUGUCCCUUUUUUUUUUUUUUUUUCCUUAUACAACUAUCAUUUGUGGAUGCUGAUUGCAGAUAAUGAGGACAUAGAAUGUUUUAAUUGCUUAACUAUCUCGAGUUAAGUGUGGGUUUUCGUAAAAAUAAAUGUCUACACAGUAAGAGGACUGUGAAGGUAACACUCUAGGAAUGUAUAAGCUAACGAAGUGUUCAUAUGUAGCAUCUUUCAGAUGUCUCUUAAUCUCCUGAAUCAAAAAACCUCUGGUCUGGAAUCAAACAUUGGCUUCCACAAGAAUUUCAGAAAACUGAAACUGAGUUGUUUGUAAUUGAGCUGUAAUUAUGAACCACAAACUGCAAAUACCAUAAAAUCUGUAAGCAAUAGUUUAAGGGAGGCUGAGGGCAUUGUAGGAGAAGUGUUGAAACUGUUGGUGGUGUCAAAAUGUGUCCAUUUUUGUGAGUAUGGAUGAUGUGCAAUCUGUCGGGAUAAAUGGGCUUUGACUUAUUCACCCUUAAUAUGAAAAUUAAAAAAAAAAAAGAAGAGCAAAUCAUGGUCAUGCUUUUCUUGGAUAGUGGGAGCAGCUCCUGAAAUACCAAUUAGAAGCUAUAAUGGGAGCUUGGGGUGGGUCUAUACAGUGAGAAACUUCUAGGUCAGGCAGCAGGUAAUAAUAAUAAUACCAAGUACAUUUCCUUAUUUAACUUUGUUUUUUAUUGUGUUCAGCCUCUAGCUGAUUUUUUUACCUUGUAACAUAGUCCCUAAUUGAGACACAUGAAGCUCAUAAGAGGCUUUAGACAAGAUUCAGCUAGCCACAAAAGUCAUUAUCUCAUUUUCGUUUAUUAACAUGAUAUUUCCAAUGGAUUAACGAGGGUUUCCCUUUUGUUGCCUCUGCUAUGGCACUAGCCCUAAAGGGGCUGUUGCGUCUUUCCAUCUCAAGUGACUUCUUACUCACAUUAGAUUACAGUAAUGUACGUGUUACAGGAAUGACAUUUAUUAUACUUCUCGAAUUAAAAUUCCCUAUUUGAAGUAGCUUUAAUUGCUGGAAGUAGGAUAAAGUGAACUUGAGUGUUGAUUUUAGCAAUGAGCUAGCAUCAAAAUAACUGCUGCUAGA